CCUAAACCCCAUGCACAGAAACCUCAUUCCAGUGGAGUUUCCUUAAGAGAGUGCAGCAGACCUUUCACAAACAAAGUGACUUCAAAGCUGUUAACUACUGGUGGUGGCCGUGGCCCAAGAUCAGAACCUGCCUCCACAUCCACAGUUCAUCAAGAAAUCCUCAGAGAAAGAACUUGGCUCCCUUGACCUCAGAUCAGUCAGAGCAAGGGUUCCUUAGUCUCUGAGUAAGUAGGGCCAAUGCCUCUAUUCAGUUGGAAGUAGCCAUAGAAGACGAAACUUCCCAGUUCAAUACCCCAUAAAGAUUUUUUGGGAUCAGGUUCUCAGGGGACUAGUACACUUAGAAACAAUGGAACUGAGGAAGUCACUCCCUUCCAUCCAUUUAAAUCUAAACAGCACCUUAUGGCCAUUCUUCCUCCCACUUUCCUAAAAGACAUAGAAAAUAAAAUAACAAAAACUCAGGAGAACUCUGAUGUUCUUGGCAAAAGCUCACACAUGUUGGAUCCUAGCCUGAGCUUUGGUCACCUUCACCCUCCCCACCUCAUUACAGGUCCAUAAAUAUGUACUGCAUCUCAUGAAUGUAAUUAAGAUCAGAGUUAAUUCUGGGAAUAUAAUUAAGAUUCAGAGUUAAUUCAAGCAUGCAAGUUGAGAGCCCCUAAGAUUGACUACUCAGCCCCCUGCCAAUCAUUUCUGUCAAUUACACCUAGAGAUUCAGGGUGAAGCAUCUGGGCUGAGGUGCACAUCCUUUAAAUUCUGAAAGCCUGAUUUAGAAGGGCUGCUGUUGCUAUUUGCAUGUACAACCUAUGUGUAGUACUUUUACUUUUUUGUCACCUGGCACCAUUUUUCUGUCUGUGCCACAUCUUUUAUUGGCACAGACUUGCCCUGAGCACAACUUCAGUGAUCUUCAAUAAAUGUAGCUGCUUACCACUUGUUA